rnacentral:rRNA from 1 species
UUCGGCAAUGGACGGAAGUCUGACCGAGCAACGCCGCGUGAGUGAAGAAGGUUUUCGGAUCGUAAAGCUCUGUUGUAAGAGAAGAACGAGUGUGAGAGUGGAAAGUUCACGCUGUGACGGUAUCUUACCAGAAAGGGACGGCUAACUACGUGCCAGCAGCCGCGGUAAUACGUACGUGCCGAGCGUUGUCCGGACUUAUUGGGCGUAAAGCGAGCGCAGGCGGUUAGAUAAGUCUGAAGUUAAAGACUGUGGCUUAACCAUAGUACGCUUUGGAAACUGUUUAACAUGAGUGCAAGAGGGGAGAGUGGAACUCCAUGUGUACCGGUGAAAUGCGUAGAUAUAUGGACGACACCGGUGGCGAUGGCGGCUCUCUGGCUGUAACUGACGCUGAGGCUCAAAGCGUGGGGAGCAAACAGAUCAGAUACCCUGGUAGUCCACGCCUAACGAUUAGUGCUAGGUGUAGACCUUCCCGGGUUAGUGCGCACACCAUUACCACCC